rnacentral:rRNA from 1 species
CAGCAGCCGCGGUAAUACAGAGGGUGCAAGCGUUAAUCGGAAUUACUGGGCGUAAAGCGCGCGUAGGUGGUUUGUUAAGUUGGAUGUGAAAUCCCCGGGCUCAACCUGGGAACUGCAUCCAAAACUGGCAAGCUAGAGUAUGGUAGAGGGUGGUGGAAUUUCCUGUGUAGCGGUGAAAUGCGUAGAUAUAGGAAUGAACACCAGUGGCGAAGGCGACCACCUGGACUGAUACUGACACUGAGGUGCGAAAGCGUGGGGAGCAAACAGGAUUAGAUACCCGAGUAGUCCCUGUCUCUUAUAC